CAGUUUUGUUUCUUCUGUCAAAGGUCAAAUAAUCUUCCUUUCAGGCUGUUUAGCUGAUUAAAAAAGUUCUGUGCUUUCAGUGAGCUUUCUUCAAAGAAUGGCAAAGGAGCAUCCGGCUCACCAGCCGCUAAGAAGAAACCAAGACAUAGGAAUCUGUCUGAAGAUGAGGUCGCUUGAAAGCAGCGGGGAUGAGGAGUUGGGAUGGGGUUUGUUUUUCUUCGUGCUGGUGGUCGGUACAUCUGGGUGAUGCCGACCCACAGGAGGGUCUUCCAGCCCCGUCUUUUGCACUCGGCUUGUUGUGCUGACCUCAGCACAUGUUGCAGACAGCGGACAGCUGACAGUUUCUGGGCACGCUGACCUUUAAAGGUGGAUCAGCUAUUCUCAUUUUAGUGACAAGCUGCUCAGCUUUUUUGUAAUGUUCUCAAAUAAAACUAUUUAACUGAUAGCAUUACAUCUAUCAAUUUGUUCUUGUUGUUUAACGGUUAAACAGUUCAUUAUUGACAUCUGCUUGAUAUCUGAGUCGUUUCAGAUGCAUUAGGUGCCAUACAUAAAGUAUUAUUGUGCUAACGCAACUAUUAUUAUGUUUGUUUACUUGCCCUUCUAUACACAAAAUGCCUUGCUAUUGUUGGACCAUUUUCUAGAUAUUCUGUUGAGGCCCUUUAUCCACCUCAGGUGUGAUACAGCUAACGAACAUAUAUUUAUAAAGGCUUUGGCAGAUCGUAAUCUAUUAAUAUCUGAAAUAUAGAAAAAAGUAAGCACCUAUAUUGUAAUUUUGGCCCAAAAAUUUGGGAAUAUAUCAGAUAAACACAAUCGGUAACUACCGCUUUGUUGUGUAGUGAACUAUAUCAUUUGAAGCUGUUGGAGGUCAGAAAGAUCCAUGAGCAGCAUUAAACCAUAAAUCAGAUUUAUUUAUUUUGCUGAACAAACCAACUUACCCGAGGCCUCUUCCAGACCACACGUCCGAUCCUGUUCCCCUGGUAAAACAGCGAGUCGUCGAUGGCGGGGAAGCGGGGGUCUUCGAAGAGCAGGCCACUCUGCAAGCACUGCCUCUUCAGGGUGGAGUACUGCUGCCCGUCGAAGGCCUUCACUGAAGUGAACAUACUGCAGCCCUGAAAUGAUCAGACCAGACUAAUACAUCACAUAUGACAAGCAUCAUGUGUGCCAGUUGUUAGCAGAUCCGUCUUCCAUUCAGGAGGUUGGCGGUUCAAUCCCCGCCCUAGCCGAUGUGUCCUUGAGCAAGACACUUAACCCUGAAUUUCUCCCUGUAGCUGCGUCUACGGCGUAUGAUUGUAACAUGAUUGUAAGUCGCUUUGGCUAAAAGCGUCAGCUUAAUGACAUGUAAUGUCAUAGCAUCACACUUUUCAAAACGCUGUAUUUCAUCACAGACCACUGGUUUCUUCUUUUUUUUUGGUUCACUUGCUCUUCUAUACAUAAAAUGCCUGGCUGUUGUUGGACCAUUUCCUAGAUGUUCUGUUGAUGCACUUUAUUCACCUCAGGUAUGAUGCAGCCAAUGAACAUAUAUUUAUAAAGGCUUUGGUCGUUCUUCACAACAAGGUUUUAACUUCUGCUGCUAUUUUUGAAAAACAAUUUCCCUCGCGACACUUCUGCUCUUCGACUCGCUCACGGCUGACUGACAGCGGAGUCCAGCGGACUUUAAAGCUCCGUUGAAAUAGGAAGUCGAUGAGCGCUGCUGUCUUGAGCGCAGCCUGGAUUCACUGGGUCAAAAUGAUUCAUCUGUCAAUUCACUGAUAUCCUCCAGGGCCUAAUUAUCACUGCUAUGCAUUAAAGGAGCCACGUACACAUUGAUCAGCUCAGGAGCGGCAGGACAUUCAAGGGGACCGGUGAGUCAGCCUGAGGACUAAGAUGGAGCGACUGAAGCUAUUCAGGAACAGUUGGAUAAUCCCAAACGUCUCUAUCUUUUUCAUUUACGUUUCCUUUGUGCCUCUCCAGCAAUGUUAUGAACUAUCAAUAUCGAUAUUACAAUCUGAAAUGUGUAUGUCUAAAUACAUAUAAAUAUUAUUAUUAAAUGGGAACUGCAUUUUUUUGUUGGCGCCAGGUUUUAACAAGGAAGAAAAAUGUAUGCGAUAAAGUAACUCUGGUUCUGUUUCAUCAAAUGCAACAAUUGUAUGAGUGCAAUGCUAAAUCUGCUGAAUGCUCUUUUAAGGGAAUAAAACGUAAAGUUAAAUUAUCAUACAGUAUUGGUAUCAGCCUCAGAAAUAGUCGAUAACAAUGUUGAUUCAUGGAACUUUAAAUGGUUAGAGACAUGUUCUUGUUUUCUUGAAGUCCAACAGGCUUCAACAGUAUUUUCCGGCAGUUGGACGAAUGACAUUAUUUUGAGUUUGCAACACAUUUUUGUCUGAAUUUAUGAACAUUUACAGACCUAAUUGGCUAAUUAAUCAUUUAGUGGAGCCAAUUGAUAAUAAAUAAAAUGAUCAUUAAUUAGAGAAAAGUGUGCUUUCACACUGUGAGCACCAUAAUCAAGUCCUGGGCAGUCAAUAUGGUUUUCAGAUGAGGACAUUUAUUCAUGGCGGAUUAUUUGCUGGUAUUCCUCAUAUAUCCAUCAGGACCAACACCUCACGCCACACAACCAGUUUCUUCCUGUCGGCAGUCGGACUCAUGAACAGAACCUGGGUCCCCCACUGACUGACUCAGGGAUUGUCCUGGGGAUGACAAUUCCUGCCGGUCAUUCCCCUGCACAUCACUUAAUUUCCCUCGGGAUUAAUAAAGUAUCCAUCUAUCUAUCUAUCUAUCUAUCUAUCUAAUUGUUCAUUUAAAUACAUUUAAAUACACGUAGCUCUUCACUUUCAAUACACUUUAAACUGACUAACACUUGUUACAUUUCUGAAACCUGCCCGCCUGUGCACUUUACCUUAUACUUAUAUUUUUAUUUUUAAUUAUCACACUGUGUUGUUUGUUGAUAGUUGCUAAAGUCGUUGUCUAUUGUCGCACCACCCGCCAUGACACAUUCCUUGUAUGUGAAAAUAUACAUGGCAAUAAAAAGGUUGUGAUUCUGAUAUACCCGUGUCAUUUUAGUUCAUUAUCAAUACUUUUGGCUAGCCAGAACUAUUGACAAUGACAUGAGAUUUAUGACAGGCGUUCAGGUCGGGUCAUUGAACGCCUCCACAAGAAUGUUUCCAGCAAGGUUGCACUCUUUAUUGGCUGACUAAAUACAUACUUUAUGUUUCUUGGCAUGGGCGAUAUUAUGAUAUAUAUCAUUUAGUGUGAUGAAAAGGUGUUGUCAAAUUGUUACCUCUUUGUGUAAAUCAGUAUCUACUUUGAGUACCUCCUCUGUGUCAGAGGUUUAAAGUUUAAACUUCAACUUAAUUAUCACGGACGUUCUGCAGUGUUCAUCACAUAGAAUGCAAUUUAAUACCCGUUCAUUGUCAUCUAUUCUUCCUCACUACAGUUACAAACAGAAGUGACAGUGUUUGCUGCAGAUCUGAUGGUGCCCAAAUAAAGUACUACACACCGGUGGUUAAACACUCCCAUGAUGCAACAUUGUGUACAACGUUGUUUCUGGCCAGAAUAUUGUUGGACCAUUUUCUAGAUAUUCUGUUGAGGCACUUUAUUUACCUCAGGUAAGAUGCAGCUAAUGAAGAUAUAUGUAUUAAGGCUUUGGCAUAUCAUAAUCUACAAAUAAAAAAUGUGUUACAUCUGAAAUACAGAAAAAAGGAAGCACCCAUUGUAAAAUGUUGUUUCUGGCAAGGACUUUCAAUAAAUAUAGCUGUUUGAAAAGAAGGCAAUAAAAAGUAGAUAUCAUAAGUGUAA